rnacentral:rRNA from 1 species
AAGGUACGGGAGGCAGCAGUGAGGAAUAUUGGACAAUGGUCGGAAGACUGAUCCAGCCAUGCCGCGUGCAGGAUGAAGGUCCUAUGGAUUGUAAACUGCUUUUGUAAGGGAAGAAUAAGAGCUACGUGUAGUUUGAUGACGGUACCUUACGAAUAAGCAUCGGCUAACUACGUGCCAGCAGCCGCGGUAAUCCUU